AAGUGCAGUCCCUAGGAGCCACAUCUGCUAUAAGAAGAGAUCCCAAGUGUUAGCAUUUGCAUGGCCUCUGGGGCCCAAGUCACUUAGGCAGCGUCUGGAUUAUCUCAACAGCACACUAAUUGGUUCCCCCUUGCCUGAACUUUGUCAAAAAAAAAAAAAAAAUCCCUCAGGGGGAAAAAAAAAACAGUUCCUUCCCGAAAGACAGCGCAAGCAGGCCUUGUGAACCUUCCUGCCCUGUUGCCUACUGCUCUGCACCUUGCUUAUGAGUCUGCAGUCAUAGGGCCCACAGGUCGCCUUACACAGACUCACCACUGCGUACCUGACUGGAGAGACGCAAACAUUUAUUCACACGUUACGUUCCCAGGAAAGCCGUUCCUGGCGGUCUUAUCCAAAACAUCAGUCUCUUUCAAGAUUUGUGACUUUGCUUUAUUAUUUAGUUAUUGUUUUCAGACUGAGCUUCAGUGUGUAGCUAGGGCUCAUUACCAGCCCUCAGCCCUCUGGCUUCAACCUUCCAAGUGCUGGGAUUACGGUCACCACACCUGGCUUUCCCCUGUGUCUCCCACACCCGGUGUUUUCUUACUCAUCCUGUCUAACAUUAAGUCAGAGCUUCUAUAACUACAGAAGCUUUGAUUCCUUUCUGUCUUCUCAGCAACCCAACCAGAGCCUAGCGUAUUGUUGAACGGAUGAGAGAAUGUCAACAGAGAGAUGCAUCUUGUUUUGGGACCUGCCAUGACACAAUACAGUGGGAGAGAUUGGUGCUUUGAUCAGACAGAAGGUGUGUGUGGCACUGUUCCUGCUCCUAGGGAGUAUGGAAACUUGAUGCAUGUUUCAGAAGACUAGAAUGGCAAGCAUUUGAGUUUAUUUCCUUUUUCUUAUCCUGUUUUAUUAUUUGAGAAUUUCACACAUACCUAUAAUGUGUCUUUUCUUUUAAUCAAGUUCAUCUCGCAUUCCCUCACCUCUAAGUAGUCUCCCACCGAGCCCACUCCUUUCCUCUCCCAAUUUCACGUAUCUGUUUAUAAACUCUCCGAGUCCACCUAGUGCUGCCUGUGUGCGCUUGGAUACAGAACCAUCUAUGAGAGGAUAGGUCACCUCGAAGUGGCUGCAUCCCCGAGGAAAACUGACUUUCCCUCUCCAGCAGUCAUCAAUCACCUCAGCUAGGGGUGGGACUUCACGAGGCCCUCCCCAUCCAUGCCAGGCUCUUGCCAUAGGGACUACGAGCUCACGGGCGCUGCCGCCCUGGCAUGUCUGCCAAGCACUGUUUUGUUGUAAGCAUCCAUCCUGUUCGCCUCUUAAGCUAGUUCCUUCUUCCCCUUCUUUGUUUUGUGCUGGGGGAGGGUACAGCUGGUUCAUCUAGAGCUGAGCACUCCUCAGGCCAGUGUUAUCUGUCCCAUUGUGGCUCUCUGCAUCUACUGAUCUCUGCUUCCUGCAAAAGGAAGGUUCUCCGAUGAGGGUUCAGAGAUGCACCCAUUUAUGGGUUUGUACAAACAAUCCCUUUGUACAGUUGAAAUUGGGGAGGAAGAAGGAAAGACUAUUUUAUGGAAGUCUUUGAAGAACCUGACAGGAGAAUGCUCUGUUAUUUCCACAGGGCAAUAUGCACUCUACCAAAGAAAGACUUUUUAUGAAGUCUGAAGUUACGGAAAGUGGGAGUUGUGCACCCUCUGGGUACCCAGGGCCCAAAAGGAAACAGAAAGGCCACUUGUCCUUGUUUACAGAAUUUAAAAUCAAGUUUAAAUUCUUACUGGGGUGUUAGCUACAGACAAAACAAAACAGCCUUACAGUUGGCAGUGAGAAGACAGGAAAUUUGAGACCCCAGGCCCUGAACUCACAGAGCUUAUAGAAGCUUGUACCUGCCCAGCUUCGGGGGCUUCAUGCCAGCUAAGAGAACUCCAGAGUGGAACUGCUCUAUUUUACAUAAAUAAAAGCUUCACUCCGAAAAACGUGUUUCUCUGCGAGUUCCUCUGGGUAUAGAUGGGCUUGUUAAGUAAUUACAAUCUAUUAUAAUGUUAAUCAGCAGGGCUGCACCUGGUUGGAAUUUAGUUUUCUGACAGAAACCAUGUGAAGUGGCCAAAAGCCUUUGCUGGGCUCGAGAGAACCAAGAGGACAGAGCAGCUGUGUCACUGGAAUUCACCUACAUACAAACAAAAUAGAAACUCCAGAGGGAACAGGUUUGGACUCAGACCUGCCCAGAGGAGAAACUCAAGCCUGCCACCAAACCCCAGUGCUGCAGUGUCCUCCAGCCUGCCCGUCUUCCCAUCCUCUCCUUGAAGUCUUCUGGAGGUCACCUUUAAGUCAGCUGUGGUGCUGCUUGCCUGUCACCCCAGCCGAAAUGGACCAGAGGAGAGGAGGGCACUCCCUGUGCUCGUAUCUGGGAAGCAUUUAAGGCCAAAAAUGUGGCCAACACAAGAGGGGUUGGAAACAAUAUAGUGGGUGAAUAUAGAAUUGAUUAUUGGGGGGU
rnacentral:lncRNA from 1 species